rnacentral:lncRNA from 1 species
CUCUGGUUGCCAUAGUAACCUUCCUUUUCAGCUUUGCCUCUCAUUUUCUUCGAUUCAUCUUCUGGGGAAAGAACAAGAAGAAAGAGGUCAUCAGAUCAGAAGCAGGGAGGCCACCCUCCCACUGAUCAGCUAUGUGAUCCUGGCUAGAAAUACCCAGGAACAAAGAGGCCAUGUUACUAUGCCCUAUAAAGGUGUUUGAGGCUGCGGUGACAGAGACCACCAGCAAGCAAGGGGAAAAGGGUUUCAAGAAGGAAAGAAUUAAGGAAGAUGUGCACAUUACGCCCCAAGAAAUACACAGGCACAUCUAACUACAAGGGAAGCCAGAAAUGUGGUCUAGAUAUCUGCCCAGGGCAAAGGGUAAUUGUUUGCGGGAACACAACACCAGUCUUUGCCACAGAUGCAGACAAAAACAGUGAACUGGAAGGAACAUUUUAAAGAUGGCAGGGCCACAAGAUGGGAGGAGCCUGGAUCCCUGAGUCACUGCUGGAAGGAGAGCCACCCACCCAUGGGAACACCUAAUAAAGUUAUAUGUGAGCAAACAAUGACCUCCCUUGUGUCUGAGUCAUCCUAUCUUUAUGACUUUGUUACAGCGUUAUUCUAACCAAUAUGCUACCUCCUAGGGCUACGCUGGGGAUGAAAUGAGUGAAAAUAUGUACUGUUCUUAGAUGACAGCUUAGAAAAUAGUACAUAAACA